rnacentral:rRNA from 1 species
AUGGAGGCGGACGAGCUCCUGAAGAAGAUACGGGCGCUGGAGGAGGGGCAGGCGGAGCUCAAGCGGGAGGUGGGCAGGCUCAUGCCGGACCGCCGCGCCGCGGCCCGGCGACGCGCCCUCCGCGCGCUGCUGCCGCCGCCGCCGCGGCCCUCCUCGUCGUCGCGGCGCGUCGCGGCCCGCGGCAGGCUGCCCGACAGGCACUGCCACUGGAUACUGCAGUCGCUGGGGCAGGCCGUGCACAUCAUCGCCCCUGACGGGAAGCUCCUGUACUGGAACCGGUAUGCUGAGCAUAUGUAUGGCUAUACUGCAGCAGAGGCAGUUGGUCGGAAUGCCGUCGAAUUAAUUGUUCAUCCUACUGACUUCGAUUCAGCAAAAAUCAUCAUCCAGAAUAUAUUUAUGGGCAAGUGUUGGAGAGGGAGGUUUCCUGUUAAGAACAAAGCAGGAGAGAGGUUUUUUAUUUCUGUCCACAACACCCCUUUGUACGAUGACGAUGGUAGCUUGGUGGGCCUCAUCUGUCUCUCGCUUGAUGUACGGGCAUUAGAGGAGAUAUUUAGUCCCUCGGACUCGGCAGAAUCCUAUCAAAGUACAGCAAAGCACCGGUUUCAUGCCAACAACCGGCCUACAAGUGGUUCAGUAAACAAAGGUUCUCUUCACUCCCAGCAACCUCCUCAAUCUGCUGUCACCUCCAAGAUAGUAACUUUGGCUACCAGCGUUACAAGUAGAGUUCGUUCUCGGAUAAGGAUAGGUCAGAAUAGCGACAAACUGUAUGGUGGUGGCUGUGAGGGCCAGUAUUCUCAACUUGAUCUCCAGGCCGAGGUGGCAUCAAGUGAAGAAAACACCCCAAGUGGGGAUGUAGUGCAUGGUGCCUUUGCGGCCCAAGAGAAAUCCCUUGGCAAGUCGAGCAAAACAAGUAGUGAUGACCCAGGAGAAGGAAAAGUAGGGUCCUACAAGAUUUUUCGUUCGAAGGCUGAGGCAUUAUUGGCAAAGAAGGGCAUAUCAUGGCCUUGGAGAGGGCAUGAAAAUGAUGGGGGUUCUGGAAAGAAUAACGUGAACUCAACACAGUUGCAGGAUAAGCAGGAGAAUGACCAGAGUCAUCAGAAAGUUCCAGUUCUAGAGCCUAUCAUAAUUCCAGACUGCCAAAGCAGCGAAGACACUUGGGCUACGAAAUAUGAGGUCUCAGGUUCCUGGUGGGAUUUCAACAAGAACAACACGAGUAGCAUGAGCAGCACUGGGAGUACUGAUAGCAGUGGUAUCGAGAGAGUAGAUUAUGAAGCAGACUGCCUAGAUUAUGAGAUUCUCUGGGAAGACCUAGUAAUUGGAGAACAAGUAGGUCAAGGUUGUUGCGGAACAGUGUAUCAUGCUUUGUGGUAUGGCUCGGACGUGGCAGCUAAAGUAUUCUCCAAGCAGGAAUAUUCAGAAGAAAUGAUAAAUACCUUCAGACAAGAGGUAUCAUUGAUGAAGAAGCUACGACAUCCCAAUAUAAUACUUUUCAUGGGUGCAGUUGCUUCGCAGGAACGACUUUGUAUUGUUACUGAAUUUCUGCCACGCGGGAGUUUGUUUCGGUUGCUUCAGAGUAACAUUGGCAAGCUGGAUCCAAGACGGAGAGUUAACAUGGCUAUUGACAUUGCAAGGGGCAUGAAUUAUCUUCACAGUUCCAUCCCAACUGUUGUUCACCGUGAUUUGAAAUCACCAAACCUUUUGGUUGAUAAGAAUUGGACUGUAAAGGUUGCAGACUUUGGUCUUUCACGUCUGAAACUCGAAACAUUUCUGUCAACAAAAACUGGAAAGGGAACACCGCAGUGGAUGGCUCCGGAGGUGCUACGGAGUGAACCUUCAAAUGAAAAGUCUGAUGUAUUCAGCUAUGGAGUGGUCCUGUGGGAGCUUGCUACUCAGAAGAUCCCCUGGGAUACUCUCAAUACAAUGCAGGUUAUCGGAGCCGUGGGUUUCAUGGAUCACAGACUGGAAAUACCAAGCGACGUGGAUCCUCAGUGGGCAUCAAUGAUCGAGAGCUGUUGGGAAAGUGAACCGCAACGCCGCCCUUCGUUCCGAGAACUUCUCGAGAGGCUCCAGGGGCUGCAGAAGCAGUACACGGUCCAGGCGCAGACGGAGCGGAAAGCGGCUGGGAAAGGUGCUCGAAAGGCGAGCGUCAAAGAUGAUGGCUGA